rnacentral:tRNA from 8 species
GCGGAAAUAGCUCAGUGGUAGAGCAUCGCCUUGCCAAGGCGAGGGUCGCGAGUUCGAAUCUCGUUUUCCGCUCCA